rnacentral:rRNA from 1 species
AGUGAACGCUGGCGGUAGGCCUGACACAUGCAAGUCGAACGGCAGCACAGGAGAGCUUGCUCUCUGGGUGGCGAGUGGCGGACGGGUGAGGAAUGCAUCGGAAUCUACUCUGUCGUGGGGGAUAACGUAGGGAAACUUACGCUAAUACCGCAUACGACCUACGGGUGAAAGCAGGGGACCUUCGGGCCUUGCGCGAUUGAAUGAGCCGAUGUCGGAUUAGCUAGUUGGCGGGGUAAAGGCCCACCAAGGCGACGAUCCGUAGCUGGUCUGAGAGGAUGAUCAGCCACACUGGAACUGAGACACGGUCCAGACUCCUAUGGGAGGCAGCAGUGGGGAAUAUUGGACAAUGGGCGCAAGCCUGAUCCAGCCAUACCGCGUGGGUGAAGAAGGCCUUCGGGUUGCAAAGCCCUUUUGUUGGGAAAGAAAUCCAGCUGGCUAAUACCCGGUUGGGAUGACGGUACCCAAAGAAUAAGCACCGGCUAACUUCGUGCCAGCCGCCGCCGUAA